GAUCGGAUGCUAUGCUACUCUACACACAUGUCAAGUGAGAGCAUCUUCCAUAAUUUUUCCUUUUGCUGUUUUUUUUUUAGUAGACAUCCAAAUUAUUUCCGGUUUUUUAAUUUUUAUGUCGAAAGUAUGGAGCCGAAUAGCUUACCUAUAAUUGAAUCCAGAUGUCUGAUAAUCGAAAAAAGCUUUUUGGAAUACAGUAAAAGAAAGUCUGAAAUGGAAGAAUUAGUUAGAAAUAGAAUCGAGUUCCCAAAACCAAAAUGUAAAGGUGACAGAAACUGAAUUAAUAGUGGUCAAUAGCAGGGAAUAAAAGAAGAACUUGGUGAAUAACAAAACUGCAACAGAAGAUGUUUUAUUAAAAAAACAAAGACCUGAAGAGGUGAAUAGUGGAGAUGGAUGAGGAAACAGUUAAGCCCCACCUUCACAUCCAGCAAGAUAAAAAUUAUGUACGAAACAAUAUUGGAGAUAACUUGAUGAUUGACCUUCACGCAACCAAGAGUGACUCCGCCAACAUUAAAGAGGUUUUGAACCGAUUUACUAUUGAUAUUAUUGCAAGCGUUGGUUUUCGACUGGAACGCAAUGGAGGAUCCGGACUGUGAAUUUAGCGAGCAGGGAAGAAUGCUAACGAAUCCCCCUCUUAGAAGCGUGUUUUGGGUGAUUUUUUGGAAAUUAUUGGGCGUCGAAAAGAUGCCGGAGGGCUUCCACAAGGCCGAGCAAUUUUUCAAGAAAAUGGUCGAAGAGAACGUGAAUUAUCGAGAACAGAGCAAGAUUUACCGGAUUUUUCCGAUGAAUUCCCUUGUAUUCAGUGGAAGGAGAGGGAGCAAGCGCCUUGCUUCUUGAUGGUCCUACACCGAGUUUAUCAGCGCUAACAUUGUUGCCGAUUUAAUGAUGCUUCUUUUGGUAGAGUAUAGGGAUAGGCGCUAGUGAUGGCCAAAACUUGUCAAUAAAUCUAUUCACCCAAUUAAUCGGGUAGAAUAAAUCAGUUGAGACAAAAAAUUGAAUCGGGUAAAAUAAUUUAAAAAAUGUUCUAACAAAAAUUAUCUACCUUAAAAAUAUAUUUGCUAGAUCAAAGAAAACAAACAUCACCAGAAAUUAUUGAUUUAUUUUAUUUUUUUUAUUUAGAAGUCUAUAACAAAUAGACAAAAAUAUAACCAGUGCUCGCCAAGCUUUCAUAGAAGGCCUGUCUACGGGUAUUAAAGUACCUUCGGGAAAAGGAAAAAGACUUAUAAUCACACAUAUUGGAAGCGAAGAGGGAUUUUUAAAAGAAGGUCUGCUAACCUUUGAGUCGACUCGCACAGGAGAUUACCAUGAAGACAUGAACUCAGACGUUUUCGAGGACUAUUUUGGUGAAAUGAUAAAAUUUCUUCCGGCUAAUUCGGUGGUGGUUAUGGAUAACGCAAGCUAUCAUUCACGGCGAAUAGAGAAGACGCCAACUUCAAAUUGGAGAAAGCAAGAAAUUAUCGAUUGGCUGACUGCAAAAGGUAUUGCGUUUGAAGCAAAUUUGAUAAAAAAAGAACUGCUGGCAAUAGCAAACUUACACAAAACUCGUUUCAUGAAAUACGCCGUGGAAGAUAUAGCCGAAAAAUAUAAUAUAACUGUACUGCGCUUACCGCCAUAUCAUUGCGAACUAAAUCCUAUAGAACUGAUAUGGGCGCAGGUAAAAGGAUUUGUAGCAAGACAAAACACGACUUUUAAAAUGAAAGAUGUUACUAUUUGAUCAAGCUACUGUUUGAUCAAGCCAUUACGGAAGCGACACCAGAGAAUUGGCGAAAAGCAGUCCAGCAUGUAAUUAAGCAAGAGGACAAAAUGUGGGAUCUUGACAACCUCAUCGAUCAGACAGUCGAUCCUUUAAUUAUAAUGUCAAGAGGUGAUGACAGUUCGUCAGAUGACGAAGAAGACUACAAUCUAUUAUAAUUUAAAAUUGUUAUACACUGUUCAAAAAGUGCCAGAUCCAAAAGUGACAUUUUCAACUGUUUUACUCUACAUAUUAUGUUCAAUAAAUUUGUGAAAAAAAUAUAUUAUUCCAUUUAAACAAAAGUAACUUUCUAAAAUAAAAUAGCAUUUAAGUACAUUAAUUAUAAGGUAAAAAACAAGUCCCAGUUGCACGCCUUUGGCGAACCGUUUUCAAUGUUUAUCAGUGGGUAACAAUGGGCAAAACUCAUAAAUUGACCCAAAACCGGGUGGCACUACCUGCAAUCAACGAAAAGAAAGAAUUUUACAUUGAAACUAAUACCCAACUAAGGUAGUGGCAUAAAAUAUUGGUGGAUCACCAGGUACCACUUUUGCAUACCUAAUGAGGUUUUAUUGCUCUACACACUUCUGAAAUAGAGUA
rnacentral:lncRNA from 1 species